GCUCAAGUCCGGAUGGCAGCCUACAGACAGAAGGUCACCCGCUAUUACAAUUCUUGGGUCAAGAAUAAAGUCUUUAGAGCAGGAGAUCUAGUGCUUCAACGAGCCGCUGUCUCACAACCUCAAGAUCGAGGGAAGCUCGCCCCAAACUGGGAAGGCCCGUAUGAGGUCAAAGAAAUAGUCCGGCCCGGAACUUAUUACCUCAAGG
rnacentral:lncRNA from 1 species